rnacentral:rRNA from 1 species
AGAGUUUGAUCAUGGCUCAGAUUGAACGCUGGCGGCAGGCCUAACACAUGCAAGUCGAACGGUAGCACAGAGGAGCUUGCUCCUUGGGUGACGAGUGGCGGACGGGUGAGUAAUGUAUGGGGAUCUGCCUGAUGGAGGGGGAUAACUACUGGAAACGGUAGCUAAUACCGCAUAAUGUCCACGGACCAAAGUGGGGGACCUUCGGGCCUCACACCAUCGGAUGUGCCCAGAUGGGAUUAGCUAGUAGGUGGGGUAAUGGCUCACCUAGGCGACGAUCCCUAGCUGGUCUGAGAGGAUGACCAGCCACACUGGAACUGAGACACGGUCCAGACUCCUACGGGAGGCAGCAGUGGGGAAUAUUGCACAAUGGGCGCAAGCCUGAUGCGGCCAUGCCGCGUGUAUGAAGAAGGCCUUCGGGUUGUAAAGUACUUUCAGCGAGGAGGAAGGCAUUAAGGUUAAUAACCUUGGCAAUUGACGUUACCGACAGAAGAAGCACCGGCUAACUCCGUGCCAGCCGCCGCGGUAAUUC